UACGAAGGGGGCUAGCGUUGUUCGGAAUUACUGGGCGUAAAGCGCACGUAGGCGGAUACUUAAGUCAGGGGUGAAAUCCCGGGGCUCAACCCCGGAACUGCCCUUGAUACUGGCGGUCUCGAGUCCGGGAGAGGUGAGUGGAACUGCGAGUGUAGAGGUGAAAUUCGUAGAUAUUCGCAAGAACACCAGUGGCGAAGGCGGCUCACUGGCCCGAUACUGACGCUGAGGCACGAAAGCGUGGGGAGCAAACAGG
rnacentral:rRNA from 1 species